rnacentral:rRNA from 1 species
UUAAGCGACUAAGCGUACACGGUGGAUGCCCUGGCAGUCAGAGGCGAUGAAGGACGUGCUAAUCUGCGAAAAGCGUCGGUAAGGUGAUAUGAACCGUUAUAACCGGCGAUGUCCGAAUGGGGAAACCCAGUGCAAUUCGUUGCACUAUCGUUAACUGAAUACAUAGGUUAACGAGGCGAACCGGGGGAACUGAAACAUCUAAGUACCCCGAGGAAAAGAAAUCAACCGAGAUUCCCCCAGUAGCGGCGAGCGAACGGGGAGCAGCCCAGAGUCUGAAUCAGCUUGUGUGUUAGUGGAACGGUCUGGAAAGUCCGACGGUACAGGGUGAUAGUCCCGUACACCAAAAUGCACAGGUUGUGAACUCGAAGAGUAGGGCGGGACACGUGGUAUCCUGUCUGAAUAUGGGGGGACCAUCCUCCAAGGCUAAAUACUCCUGACUGACCGAUAGUGAACCAGUACCGUGAGGGAAAGGCGAAAAGAACCCCGGCGAGGGGAGUGAAAAAGAACCUGAAACCGUGUACGUACAAGCAGUGGGAGCACCUUCGGGUGUGACUGCGUACCUUUUGUAUAAUGGGUCAGCGACUUAUAUUCUGUAGCAAGGUUAACCGUAUAGGGGAGCCGCAGGGAAACCGAGUCUUAACUGGGCGUUAAGUUGCAGGGUAUAGACCCGAAACCCGGUGAUCUAGCCAUGGGCAGGUUGAAGGUUGGGUAACACUAACUGGAGGACCGAACCGACUAAUGUUGAAAAAUUAGCGGAUGACUUGUGGCUGGGGGUGAAAGGCCAAUCAAACCGGGAGAUAGCUGGUUCUCCCCGAAAGCUAUUUAGGUAGCGCCUCGUGNNNNNNNNNNNNNNNNNNNNNNNNNNNNNNGCUAGGGGGUCAUCCCGACUUACCAACCCGAUGCAAACUACGAAUACCGAAGAAUGUUAUCACGGGAGACACACGGCGGGUGCUAACGUCCGUCGUGAAGAGGGAAACAACCCAGACCGCCAGCUAAGGUCCCAAAGUCAUGGUUAAGUGGGAAACGAUGUGGGAAGGCACAGACAGCCAGGAUGUUGGCUUAGAAGCAGCCAUCAUUUAAAGAAAGCGUAAUAGCUCACUGGUCGAGUCGGCCUGCGCGGAAGAUGUAACGGGGCUAAACCAUGCACCGAAGCUGCGGCAGCGACACUAUGUGUUGUUGGGUAGGGGAGCGUUCUGUAAGCCUGCGAAGGUGUGCUGUGAGGCAUGCUGGAGGUAUCAGAAGUGCGAAUGCUGACAUAAGUAACGAUAAAGCGGGUGAAAAGCCCGCUCGCCGGAAGACCAAGGGUUCCUGUCCAACGUUAAUCGGGGCAGGGUGAGUCGACCCCUAAGGCGAGGCCGAAAGGCGUAGUCGAUGGGAAACAGGUUAAUAUUCCUGUACUUGGUGUUACUGCGANNNNNNNNNNNNNNNNNNAUGUUAGCCGGGCGACGGUUGUCCCGGUUUAAGCAUGUAGGCUGGUUGUCCAGGCAAAUCCGGAUAAUCAAGGCUGAGGUGUGAUGACGAGGCACUACGGUGCUGAAGUAACAAAUGCCCUGCUUCCAGGAAAAGCCUCUAAGCAUCAGGUAACAUUAAAUCGUACCCCAAACCGACACAGGUGGUCAGGUAGAGAAUACCAAGGCGCUUGAGAGAACUCGGGUGAAGGAACUAGGCAAAAUGGUGCCGUAACUUCGGGAGAAGGCACGCUGGUGUGUAGGUGAAGUCCCUGCGGAUGGAGCUGAGACCAGUCGAAGAUACCAGCUGGCUGCAACUGUUUAUUAAAAACACAGCACUGUGCAAACACGAAAGUGGACGUAUACGGUGUGACGCCUGCCCGGUGCCGGAAGGUUAAUUGAUGGGGUUAUCCGUAAGGAGAAGCUCUUGAUCGAAGCCCCGGUAAACGGCGGCCGUAACUAUAACGGUCCUAAGGUAGCGAAAUUCCUUGUCGGGUAAGUUCCGACCUGCACGAAUGGCGUAAUGAUGGCCAGGCUGUCUCCACCCGAGACUCAGUGAAAUUGAACUCGCUGUGAAGAUGCAGUGUACCCGCGGCAAGACGGAAAGACCCCGUGAACCUUUACUAUAGCUUGACACUGAACAUUGAGCCUUGAUGUGUAGGAUAGGUGGGAGGCUUUGAAGCGUGGACGCCAGUCUGCGUGGAGCCAACCUUGAAAUACCACCCUUUAAUGUUUGAUGUUCUAACGUUGGCCCCUGACCGGGGUUGCGGACAGUGUCUGGUGGGUAGUUUGACUGGGGCGGUCUCCUCCCAAAGCGUAACGGAGGAGCACGAAGGUUAGCUAAUCCUGGUCGGACAUCAGGAGGUUAGUGCAAUGGCAUAAGCUAGCUUGACUGCGAGCGUGACGGCGCGAGCAGGUGCGAAAGCAGGUCAUAGUGAUCCGGUGGUUCUGAAUGGAAGGGCCAUCGCUCAACGGAUAAAAGGUACUCCGGGGAUAACAGGCUGAUACCGCCCAAGAGUUCAUAUCGACGGCGGUGUUUGGCACCUCGAUGUCGGCUCAUCACAUCCUGGGGCUGAAGUAGGUCCCAAGGGUAUGGCUGUUCGCCAUUUAAAGUGGUACGCGAGCUGGGUUUAGAACGUCGUGAGACAGUUCGGUCCCUAUCUGCCGUGGGCGCUGGAGAAUUGAGGGGGGCUGCUCCUAGUACGAGAGGACCGGAGUGGACGCAUCACUGGUGUUCGGGUUGUCAUGCCAAUGGCACUGCCCGGUAGCUAAAUGCGGAAGAGAUAAGUGCUGAAAGCAUCUAAGCACGAAACUUGCCCCGAGAUGAGUUCUCCCUGAGACUUUAAGUCUCCUGAAGGAACGUUGAAGACGACGACGUUGAUAGGCCGGGUGUGUAAGCGCAGCGAUGCGUUGAGCUAACCGGUACUAAUGAACCGUGAGGCUUAACCUU